rfam:Frankia alni str. ACN14A chromosome, complete sequence.
CAGGUCGAGAGGCGCUGCAACGGACCCAGGUCCGCCACGCUCGGCCCGCACCGGUCACCAAGGGCGCCUCCCACAA